AUUGUAAAAUAAAAAAAAAAUAGAAAAUGUGGUAGUUGUACAUGAAGUUUUUCCACUACUUUAACUUCUCUCCACACACAUAGUGAGUGUGGCUUACUAGGAUAUAUAUAUUAAAUUAAAAGCGGUUCUAUCAUUCUAAAAAACAAUCUCAAACAUAUCAUAUGUAUUUGAUUUAACAGUAUAACUACAGCCUACAACAAAUUCUAGGAACCAUUGAAAGCUUUAUAAUUUUAAAUCAAUUAACAACAAUACUAAAACAUUAGAUAGAAUGCAUUAAUUGGAAGAAAAAAAAUUAAUUAAUUGGACAUCAAUGUGCUUCUGAAAAAAAAUGGAAAAAUUAUUAAUCUACUCUGUACAUUCGAAAUGAUGAUCACAGUACUAACCCAAAAAGAAUGACUACAAACAAGGAAUCAUUAAGUGACGAAAUAGUAUUCUAGGAGCUCCUUGGAUUCCUUCACGUACCAUUUCAUCAAACUAGGAGCUCUCGAUUAGAAGCUGAUUCUGAGACAGCAGAGGACCUCAUACUGAUUGAUUCAAUAUCAGAUCCAAGUACUCUAAUCUUCAUGAUGACACCCCAUACACAUUUCCCAGCCAAAUCCAUUGGCCAGGAAACCAUCGCUAUUAAAAGACAGACACCCCAUUGUGCACAACUCAACCUUGCAUUGCCAGCAACCUUGUGUGCAAUCUCAACAAAAGCCACCUGCAUCGUGAUGCUAACUCCCACAGCCACCCAUAACCAUCGAGUUCGAAGUAUAUCUCUGAACACAUUUUUCUUCUCUAGCUCCCUUGAGCUGACUUGAUUAAAUACCUGACAAAGAACAUAACUGCUGAAAACUAUGGACUCCAUAAUCUUCUCGUUGAUGCCUGGGAGAGCUUUAUAUUUGAACUGAAAGGUGACCAAGAUGGCAGCCUGAUAUAAAGCUUGAAGUAAUAUGUUUCUCCACAUUGCCUUGGUAAUGAGAGAUUCAGUUUGUUUUACCGGCGGCUUUUCCAUCUGCUCCUCUGUUGGCGGCUCAACCAGUAGCGCAAGCCCACAUAGUGUCACAACCAUAUUUGCCCACACUACUUCGAUUGCCCCAACUGUGCAGUGUCCCAAGGACAUUGUAGUGAUCGAGAUUAUCACAAGCAAUGAUAUAUUCAUGGUGAGCUCAACUUGGAUGUACUUCUGAAUGUUGUAGUGAAUGCAUCUUCCGAUCCGAAUAAUGUUGACCAAGAAACUGAGACUGCAAUCGGGGAUGAUGAGAUCAGAACCCUCUCUUGCCAUUUCACUAAUGCAAGUCCCUAUUGCAAUCCCCACAUCGGCUUCUUUUAGAGCUGGAGUCUCAUUUGUUCUAGCCCCAACCAUUGCUACAACAUGGCCCUCUUCCUUCAGACGUUGCAGUGUGUGGAGCUUGUCAGCAGGUCUUCCCAUUCCAUAGACAGGACUAUCACCUUCCGACAGUACUGACUCAUUAUCUUUUGCGAACUGGAUGAUUUCCACUCCCGCUUUUUGUAGAACUUCCGGUGCUUCCAUUGUCUCAGUGCAACACUUCACACCUAGCAGUCCUAUCAAUAUUAAGCUGUUGCCUUCUUCAGGCAUUAGAGCAUCAAUCUUCUUGUACGCAAAUGCAAUGGUCUUGAGAUGUUUGGACUGCAUGUUCCCCAUAAUUUCUUUAAAAUCACGUUUCUUCUGUUCAUCCAUGAGCUUUGUUGUCCCCUUGCUGUCAUAGUAUUCGGAACACAUGGGCAAUAUUGUUGUUGCAGGUCCAUUCCAAUAAAAGCACAUAUCUCCAGUUUCACUGUCCUUCAUCAGAACUCUACUAGCCUCCUCAUCGGUGCUCAACUUUUCGCUCCCCACAAUGGUGCAAUUUUGCAAUAAAUUCUCAUUGUCCAUACCCAAAUUAGAUUUGGCCCACGGUAGCAGGACCCGGUGUUCUGUUGAGCUACAAGGGCUUGAAGGCAUCAAAAGUGGUGUGCUAAUUCCUUUGUACAAAGCUUCACGAACGUGUUUGUCAAUACCAGCAACACUCUCUGUAUCGGUGAUUUGAUCCCCAUCACAGCUCACGUCGACUUCAAGAACAGGCUUCAAAGUUAGCCCAUCACCAAUGCAAAUAGUUGACACAGAGCCCAUGGUGAAACAAGCUAAGUUUCUUUGAGAAAUAGCUUUCCCAGACAGCGUGGUCUUAGUCCAGUAAGUGAUGGCAAGUGCAACUGAAAAAGGUACUCCUUCCGCUAAGCCUACAAUCAAAAAAGGCAGAUACGUCGCCAACACACUAAUCUGCCCACUUGAUUUCAUGAAAAACCUGCUAAUGACAUUGAUUAGCUCCUCGCUUGCAGUUGUUUUAGCCUUGAACUGAUCAGCUUGGAGGCCAGGGUACUCAUUAACCUUUAGAACCACGGAACGAAUGAUAAGCACUAGAGUCAUGAAAAUUGUGAUCAAGAGCCCAACAGUCUGCAACCUUGUGCUCAAGUUAUUAAGUUGAGCUGGUAAUUGGUCCUGUCUAGGAGUACAUCUAACUUGGCCCAUCAGCUCACCUAAUGUUGUCGUCAUCCCCACACAAGUAACCAACAUGCGACCAUUACCAUUUACCACCCUUGCACCAUAAACCAGAAAAGGAUUGCUGUCAUCGACGGUUGGAAAUUUCAUACCAUCUUCCAACACUAAGGAUUCACCAGUCGAAACGAACAAACCAUCAGCAGGAACUAGAGAUCCCAAUUCCAAGCAUACUAUGUCACCUGGCACAACAUCCGAUGGGGAGAUAUGAAGCAGGUUUCCUCCUCUGCGGACCUUAGUUUUCAUUUGAUUAGUAUUCCUGGGAUGCGGCAUGGAGAAAUACUUGCCCAUUGUAGGUACAACCACAAGUAUGAUGAUCGCAAACAUUCCGACAGCUCCUUCAAGCCAACCAUUACUUGGGCCUUCCUGCUGGAUACCAAAUACAGUUGACAGGAUGACACACACGAAGAGAAGGAAAACGGUCCAAUCGAAACAAGAUUGUCGGAGAAGUUUAAAGAAGCUUGGAGUUGGAGCCUGUGUUGUUGAGACUACUGCACUGUGUCGAUCAUGAAGAUCUUGUUCAUCACCUGGGAUUCCACUGUGUAAAUCUGUACUGAGUGCCUCUGCAAUUCCUUUGAUGCCUCCAAACUUCUGUAAGAUUCACUUGGUCAGAAACGGUAGCAGUACUAGUGAUGGUACCAUCAUCCUCCACGCUCAAACUUGAUACUGCUUUAGAAACGUGAGGUGAUGCAGAUGCAAGGUGUGUAGUUCUGGUGUUUGUGGUGAAGAAUUGGAAAUUUUGGGUGAUGAGGCUACUGCAGGUUCACUGUUUUUCUAGUGGUUUUGGUCUUCCUUGGCCAGUUUCCAAUCUUGGCAUGAACCUUUGAGUACAAAUUGAUAAUUUGGUGUUCCUGAAGUUGUUGGCGUUGUCGAAUUGGUAGAAUAUGGAGAAAUUGAUGAAUAUGUAUGCAUUUAUUGAUGGAAGCAUUGUUGAUAGUGAGUUGAUUAAAUGUGGAGAUUGUUUUUUAUUUGGAUUUGAGAAUGCAUAGACGAAUUGGGAAUUUGGGUGUCCAGAGUAAUCGGAAAGAGAGGACUGGGUGUCCUUAGUAGUUUGAGGAAUUGUACCGAAUGAGGAAAAUAACAUACUUUUGAAUGAUUACCGGCAAUUCUAUAAAGAAAAAGGAUACGGAUUUCAGAAUGUGAGUCUCAGUAUUACAAACUUUGAGCAACGUUGCAGUUAAAGCUUGGAUUCUAGGUGUGACAUGAGUUUCGAGAAGUGUAAGCGAGACGACGUUUACGAUUGCGAGACUCUGAAAAGGAUUACAAGAGUAGAGCGAGUAAUAAGAUUAGAAAAUGAGGACAGCCUAACUACGAUCCGUUUAUUAGCCCUGCACAAUAUAUGCCUGGGCCAUGGGCCAAGUUGAGCUUAACAUUUCAGUAAAUAGGUCGGGACGAGCCUAAGCAUGAUAAUAAAUAAGUCAGGGAGAGCAUGACAUGAAGCACGAAUGAGUCUGCUUAAAAUAGCCCGGAUGGCCCAUUUGCCACUUCUAGUCGAAUCAAUUUGGAUCAUUUACUAAUCCUUACUGCCAUCGAUCGCAUGUCGUCCUCAUAUUAUUAUGGAACACAUAUCAUUCCUCGACGAAGGUUUCUUCCUAGGUAAACCAGGCAAUAAUUUUCUACGGCACAAUAAUCUCACAUUUACUUUUUGAUCAUGUACGUUCCUUCCUACAUAUACAUAUAUAGGCUUGCAUCCUGAAAUGUAUAUGUAAAAGUACACGUCAAUAUAUACUUGGUGUAUAAAAGGACAUGGAGGUCUGAUUUUUAAUGAAGUAUAUAUAUGGACCACAUAAAAGUAUGUGUGUGUGUACGUACGUGUGUGUCCAUAAAUAUAUAUAUAUAUAUAUAUGAGUAUUUUCCUGA